UACGGAGGGUGCGAGCGUUAAUCGGAAUUAUUGGGCGUAAAGGGUGCGUAGGUGGUUGGAUAAGUUAUCUGUGAAAUCCCCGGGCUUAACCUGGGCAGGUCAGAUAAGACUGUUCGACUCGAGUACAGGAGAGGGUAGUGGAAUUUCCGGUGUAGCGGUGAAAUGCGUAGAGAUCGGAAGGAACACCAGUGGCGAAGGCGGCUACCUGGCCUGAUACUGACACUGAGGCACGAAAGCGUGGGGAGCAAACAGG
rnacentral:rRNA from 1 species